GCUGUAGGUUAGUGGUAGACCAGCUGCUUGGCAUGCAGACGGCCCUGAGUUUGAUCCCCAACAUCUCCA